GCUAGGACGAACGCUGGCGGCGUGCCUAACACAUGCAAGUCGAGCGAGGAGAUCCUCGGGAUGAUCCUAGCGGCGGACGGGUGAGUAACACGUGGGCAACCUGCCUCAUAGAGAGGAAUAGCCUUCCGAAAGGGAGAUUAAUACCUCAUAACAUUGCAGUUUCGCAUGGAACAGCAAUUAAAGGAGCAAUCCGCUAUGAGAUGGGCCCGCGGCGCAUUAGCUAGUUGGUGAGGUAACGGCUCACCAAGGCGACGAUGCGUAGCCGACCUGAGAGGGUGAUCGGCCACAUUGGGACUGAGACACGGCCCAGACUCCUACGGGAGGCAGCAGUGGGGAAUAUUGCACAAUGGGGGAAACCCUGAUGCAAGCAACGCCGCGUGAGUGAUGACGGCCUUCGGGUUGUAAAGCUCUGUCUUCAGGGACGAUAAUGACGGUACCUGAGGAGGAAGCCACGGCUAACUACGUGCCAGCCGCUGC
rnacentral:rRNA from 1 species